rnacentral:misc_RNA from 1 species
AACGCACCUUGCACCUUUUGGUAUUCCGAAAGGUAUGCCUGUUUGAGUGUCUUGAAACCUCACACUCCAAAAGUUUUUUUGCUUUUGGAGACGUGGACUUGGGUGUUGCAAUUUGCUCACCUUGAAUGCCUUAGUGGUUCUAACCCGUAGCCUAAUGUAAUAAGUUUCAUUUGGUCAAGGGGAAGACUGCUUCAAACCGCCUUUAGUGGCACCAUUUAAGACUAGACCUCAAAUCAGGUAGGAUUACCCGCUGAACUUAA